CUACGGGAGGCAGCAGUGAGGAAUAUUGCGCAAUGGGCGAAAGCCUGACGCAGCAACGCCGCGUGGAUGAUGAAGGCCUUCGGGUUGUAAAAUCCUUUUCUGUGGGAAGAAACGGACGGUACCACAGGAAUAAGUGUCGGCUAACUACGUGCCAGCAGCCGCGGUAAAACGUAGGACGCAAGCGUUAUCCGGAUUUACUGGGCGUAAAGCGCGUGCAGGCGGCUUGUUAAGUCGUGCGUGAAAGCUCCCUGGCUCAACCGGGAGAGGUCGUACGAAACUAGCAGGCUAGAGGGCAGCAGAGGAGUGUGGAAUUCCGGGUGUAGUGGUGAAAUGCGUAGAUAUCCGGAGGAACACCAGUGGCGAAGGCGGCACUCUGGGCUGUACCUGACGCUAAGACGCGAAAGCAUGGGUAGCGAACGGGAUUAGAAACCCCUGUAGUCU
rnacentral:rRNA from 1 species